AAGACUAUAGACCUGCGGAGUACCUGCGGAGGGAUCAUUAUCGAGUUAGGGUCUUAGGCCCGACCUCCCAACCCUAUGUUUAUUAAACCGACGUUGCUUCGGCGGGCCCGUCUCGCGACCGCCGGAGGACUGUAAGAUGUCCUCUGGCCCGCGCCCGUCGGCGGCCCAAACCUUACCAAUCCUGACUUAAAAACGUUUGUCACUCUGAGUACCAUUUCUUGAAUGUAAAAGCAAAACUUU
rnacentral:misc_RNA from 1 species